AGAGUUUGAUCCUGGCUCAGGAUGAACGCUGGCGGCGUGCUUAACACAUGCAAGUCGAACGAACCUUCGGGUUAGUGGCGGACGGGUGAGUAACGCGUGAGAAUCUGCCCUCAGGAGGGGGAUAACGGCUGGAAACGGCCGCUAAUACCCCAUAUGCCGAGAGGUGAAAUGAAUUUCGCCUGAGGAUGAGCUCGCGUCUGAUUAGCUAGUUGGUGGGGUAAGAGCCUACCAAGGCAUCGAUCAGUAGCUGGUCUGAGAGGAUGAUCAGCCACACUGGGACUGAGACACGGCCCAGACUCCUACGGGAGGCAGCAGUGGGGAAUUUUCCGCAAUGGGCGAAAGCCUGACGGAGCAACGCCGCGUGAGGGAUGAAGGCCUCUGGGCUGUAAACCUCUUUUAUCAAGGAAGAAGAUCUGACGGUACUUGAUGAAUAAGCCACGGCUAAUUCCGUGCCAGCAGCCGCGGUAAUACGGGAGUGGCAAGCGUUAUCCGGAAUUAUUGGGCGUAAAGCGUCCGCAGGCGGCCUGAUAAGUCUGUUGUCAAAGCGUGGAGCUUAACUCCAUUUCGGCAAUGGAAACUGUGAGGCUUGAGUGUGGUAGGGGCAGAGGGAAUUCCCGGUGUAGCGGUGAAAUGCGUAGAUAUCGGGAAGAACACCAGUGGCGAAGGCGCUCUGCUGGGCCAUAACUGACGCUCAUGGACGAAAGCCAGGGGAGCGAAAGGGAUUAGAUACCCCUGUAGUCCUGGCCGUAAACGAUGAACACUAGGUGUCGGGGGAAUCGACCCCCUCGGUGUCGUAGCCAACGCGUUAAGUGUUCCGCCUGGGGAGUACGCACGCAAGUGUGAAACUCAAAGGAAUUGACGGGGGCCCGCACAAGCGGUGGAGUAUGUGGUUUAAUUCGAUGCAACGCGAAGAACCUUACCAGGGUUUGACAUCCUGCGAAUCCCUUGGAAACUAGGGAGUGCCUUCGGGAGCGCAGAGACAGGUGGUGCAUGGCUGUCGUCAGCUCGUGUCGUGAGAUGUUGGGUUAAGUCCCGCAACGAGCGCAACCCACGUCUUUAGUUGCCAGCAUUGAGUUGGGCACUCUAGAGAGACCGCCGGUGAUAAACCGGAGGAAGGUGUGGAUGACGUCAAGUCAUCAUGCCCCUUACAUCCUGGGCUACACACGUACUACAAUGCUACGGACAAAGGGCAGCAAACUCGCGAGAGCUAGCAAAUCCCAUAAACCGUGGCUCAGUUCAGAUCGUAGGCUGCAACUCGCCUACGUGAAGGAGGAAUCGCUAGUAAUCGCAGGUCAGCAUACUGCGGUGAAUACGUUCCCGGGCCUUGUACACACCGCCCGUCACACCAUGGAAGUUGGCCAUGCCCGAAGCCGUUACUCCAACCCUUGUGGAGGAGGACGUCGAAGGUGGGGCUGAUGACUGGGGUGAAG
rnacentral:rRNA from 1 species